rnacentral:rRNA from 1 species
AACGAGCUAGAGUUUGACUCCUGGCUCGAGGAGAACGCUGGCGGCGUGCUUAACACAUGCAAGUCGAACGAGGUUAUGUUAAGGAAGUCUUCGGAUGGAAUUGAAAUAACCGAGUGGCGGACGGGUGAGUAACGCGUGAGCAACCUGUCUUCUACAGGGGGAUAACGCUCCGAAAGGAGUGCUAAUACCGCAUAAGACCACGGUGGGGCAUCACAUUGAGGUCAAAGGAGAGAUCCGGUAGAAGGUGGGCUCGCGUCCCAUUAGAUAGUUGGUGAGGUAACGGCUCACCAAGUCGACGAUGGGUAGCCGACCUGAGAGGGUGAUCGGCCACAUUGGAACUGAGAUACGGUCCAGACUCCUACGGGAGGCAGCAGUGGGGAAUAUUGGGCAAUGGGCGCAAGCCUGACCCAGCAACGCCGCGUGAGGGAAGAAGGUCUUCGGGUUGUAAACCUCUGUCCUUGGUGAAAAGAAAGGAUGGUAGCCAAGGAGGAAGCCCCGGCUAACUACGUGCC